rnacentral:lncRNA from 1 species
ACUAGCUAACUCAGAGCUUGCUAAUGAGAGCUUGGCUCUUCGUUUCCAGGUGCAAUGGCUUGAGGCUGGGGCGACCGCGACCUGCUGCAGUCGGACACGGAUCUGACUGGAAACCCGGCAUCCGCAGGGACGUCACGGUGCUGCCGUCGGGGAUCGAGAACGCAAGAGAAGAGGUUGUGCCUAUUUGCCAAGGGAAGAAGCGGCCAUUUGGUAAAGGCGUUGCUCCAUGGAGAAGGCCGUAAGAUUUUACUGGGAAGCCCAUAAGCUCCUCCUCGGUUCCCUGAA